AGAGUUUGAUCCUGGCUCAGGACGAACGCUGGCGGCGUGCUUAACACAUGCAAGUGGAGCGACGAACCAGGCUUCGGCCUGGGGCAGAGCCGCGAACGGGUGAGUAACACGUGGGUAACCUGCCUCGAUGACCGGGACAACCCGGGGAAACCCGGGCUAAUACCGGAUGUGCUGCUCGCACAUAAGUGCGAGCUGAAAAGGAAGCUUCGGCCUCCGCAUCGAGAUGGGCCCGCGGCCCAUUAGCUUGUUGGUGAGGUAACGGCUCACCAAGGCUGCGAUGGGUAGCUGGUCUGAGAGGACGAUCAGCCACACUGGGACUGAGACACGGCCCAGACUCCUACGGGAGGCAGCAGUGGGGAAUCUUGCGCAAUGCGCGAAAGCGUGACGCAGCAACGCCGCGUGGGGGAAGAA
rnacentral:rRNA from 1 species